CGCAGGGCUGUCCUGACAUUUUUAAGAGCCGCCAGUGGGCAGCACGGCUAUUUUUGUUAUUUAUAGAGAGCUGCGUGUGUGCUGGGUGAUCGACCCGCUGGUGAGGAAGGCUGGAUUCCUGUCACAGCCCGCUCCCGUGCACAGGAUGAGUGCGGCUGUGUUGCUGGCACAGAUAACACCGAGUAGCCCGGUGCGGGCACGUGGCCAAGACACCCUGGUCCCAGAGCUCUUCGUGUUCCAUAAAGCCAAUGUGGAGACAUUGUGAUGGAACAGCUCCCAGGAACACGACGCUGUGAGCACAGGUGUCCCCAGGGCACUUUGUUCUAUGGAGCGGGUGGGAGUGGGAGGUUGGGACGAGUGGGUAGCACCGCAGGUUUCGUGGCGGUGAAGUUUGAAGCGGGAGCAGAGCUCCUGAAGGAGCUGCUUCAGCGGCCUGGGACUGCUGGGAAGGUCCUCUGUACUGGCAGAGGAAAACAGGAAAGGGGAGAAGAGCCCCGCUAAGGACUGACAUGUGGAACUGUGCAGCCUUUGCCAUCUGGAAAAAUAAAAAUGGAUGACGAAGAUGGUUAUAGGAAUAUCUUGAACCUCAAGCAUUCCCCGUUUCUACUGUGCUGAUCAGAAUCUGCAGAGUUCAUAGGAGAGAAAGGAAGAAUGCUGUCCCAAGUAUCCCUUGGUGCAUGAACAUAAGAUGCAUGGCCAGCUCUUUCACCCAGGUUUUGUGCAAAGAUUAAUUCUGACAGUGGAGAAGUAAAGAAAGGAUUAUUAGUCAAUCUCAGGGAAGUCUGGAAUUAUUAAAGCAGAGCAGCCACUAACCUGCAGGUCCCUGAAUCUUCUGGAGUAUGAUAUGAUGAUUGAUAACCUGACCUACACUUCUUGGAUCACUUGGCAGGAAAGGGACAGGACCAGAAGCCACAACCGUGGUGAGUGAUGAGGCAUGCAGAAAGCACAACAGAAGCUGCUGCCAAGGGAUUUGCAGAUGUGGGACUGUAAGGAUUUUGGCCUAAGUAUGAGGUUUUCUACUUUUCAGUAAACCUGCUACGGAGGGUAUUUCAAAUGAAGAGAUGCCCAGAAGACUCAACAUUCUGAACAAAGUUGUAAACAGUGCUUUCACUGAAUAUUUCAGACCAAAUUCUCAGUUCUGUAGCCCAAAACAACUUAAACUUCAGUAAGCUGUUUUGCAUUUGCCAUAACAUCUGAUCUAAAAGGCUUAAUAAAAGUGAAUAUUUGGAUCUUCUGAUUGUAUCUUAACACUGUGAUGUGAAAUAAAGUAAAAAAGAACUGAU